GACGAACGCUGGCGGCGCGCCUAACACAUGCAAGUCGAACGGAGCUGAGAGAAGCUUGCUUUUCUUAGCUUAGUGGCGAACGGGUGAGUAACGCGUGAGUAACCUGCCCUGGAGUGGGGGACAUCAGUUGGAAACGACUGCUAAUACCGCAUAAGCCCACGAUCCGGCAUCGGAUUGAGGGAAAAGGAUUUAUUCGCUUCAGGAUGGACUCGCGUCCAAUUAGCUAGUUGGUGAUGUAACGGCCCACCAAGGCGACGAUUGGUAGCCGGACUGAGAGGUUGAACGGCCACAUUGGGAAUGAGACACGGCCCAGAAUCCUACGGGAGGGAGCAGUGGGGGAUAUUGCACAAUGGGGGAAACCCUGAUGCAGCGACGCCGCGUGGAGGAAGAAGGUUUUCGGAUUGUAAACUCCUGUCGUUAGGGACGAUAAUGACGGUACCUAACAAGAAAGCACCGGCUAACUACGUG
rnacentral:rRNA from 1 species